rnacentral:rRNA from 1 species
CCCCGGUCAGGAAUAACCGCCGAAAGGCGGGCUAAUACCCGAUAACACUGACGCUCUGCGGAGUGUCUUUCAAAGAAGGCCUCUGUUUACAAGCUUUCGCCGGAGGAUGAGCCCGCGUACCAUUAGCUAGUUGGCAGGGUAAUGGCCUACCAAGGCAACGAUGGUUAGCUGGUCUGAGAGGAUGGCCAGCCGCACUGGAACUGAGACACGGUCCAGACUCCUACGGGAGGCAGCAGUGAGGAAUCUUGCGCAAUGGGGGAAACCCUGACGCAGCAACGCCGCGUGAGUGAGGAAGGCCUUCGGGUCGUAAAGCUCUGUCAGAUGGGAAGAAAUGGGUGGGGGCUAAUAUCGUCCAUCCUUGACGGUACCAUCAGAGGAAGCACCGGCUAACUCCGUGCCAGCAGCCGCGGUAAUACGGGGGGUGCAAGCGUUGUUCGGAAUCAUUGGGCGUAAAGCGCGCGCAGGCGGCUUGGUAAGU